GGAGGGGAGGGGGGUCCUUCAGCCCAGAUUGUGAGAGGGCACAGGCCAGGCUGAGGGACCCCACCGGUGCAGG
rnacentral:pre_miRNA from 1 species